CCUCCGUGUGGCAGCAGUGGGGAAUAUUGGACAAUGGGCGAAAGCCUGAUCCAGCCAUGCCGCGUGUGUGAAGAAGGCCUUCGGGUUGUAAAGCACUUUCAGUGGGGAAGAAAGCCUUGGGGCUAAUACCCUCGAGGAAGGACAUCACCCACAGAAGAAGCACCGGCUAACUCCGUGCCAGCAGCCGCGGUAAUACGGAGGGUGCGAGCGUUAAUCGGAAUUACUGGGCGUAAAGCGCGCGUAGGCGGUCUGAUAAGCCGGUUGUGAAAGCCCCGGGCUCAACCUGGGAACGGCAUCCGGAACUGUCAGGCUAGAGUGCAGGAGAGGAAGGUAGAAUUCCCGGUGUAGCGGUGAAAUGCGUAGAGAUCGGGAGGAAUACCAGUGGCGAAGGCGGCCUUCUGGACUGACACUGACGCUGAGGUGCGAAAGCGUGGGUAGCAAACAGGAUUAGAUACCCGAGUAGUC
rnacentral:rRNA from 1 species